rnacentral:rRNA from 1 species
UACGAAGGGGGCUAGCGUUGCUCGGAAUCACUGGGCGUAAAGCGCACGUAGGCGGGUCGUUAAGUCAGGGGUGAAAUCCUGGAGCUCAACUCCAGAACUGCCCUUGAUACUGGCGAUCUCGAGUUCGGGAGAGGUGAGUGGAACUGCGAGUGUAGAGGUGAAAUUCGUAGAUAUUCGCAAGAACACCAGUGGCGAAGGCGGCUCACUGGCCCGGUACUGACGCUGAGGCACGAAAGCGUGGGGAGCAAACAGG